rnacentral:rRNA from 1 species
GCUUGUCUCAAAGAUUAAGCCAUGCAUGUCUAAGUAUAAGCAAUUAUACCGUGAAACUGCGAAUGGCUCAUUAAAUCAGUUAUCGUUUAUUUGAUAGUACCUUACUACUUGGAUAACCGUGGUAAUUCUAGAGCUAAUACAUGCUGAAAACCCUGACUUCGGAAAGGGUGUAUUUAUUAGAUAAAAAACCAAUGCCCUUUGGGCUCUUUGGUGAUUCAUGAUAACUUAACGGAUCGCAUGGCCUUGCGCCGGCGACGGUUCAUUCAAAUUUCUGCCCUAUCAACUUUCGAUGGUAAGGUAUUGGCUUACCAUGGUUUCAACGGGUAACGGGGAAUUAGGGUUCGAUUCCGGAGAGGGAGCCUGAGAAACGGCUACCACAUCCAAGGAAGGCAGCAGG